UUCUGCUCGGGUAUUGGUUGGCCUCCUACUCCAAUCUAAAUAUUGAACUUCCAAUAUUAAUAUCUCCUUCUUAAACCAUUGAAUUGCCUUCAAAAUAUACUUAAACUAUGGAAAAUCAAGUCUAGUCUCAACAUAAAAAAAAUCACUUCAAUCCAAUCAAUAAAUUGUUAAAGAUCUUAAAAAUACUCACUGACCUUUAAAUUCUAAUUUUUGAGACUUGAACCCACAAAAACCUUCACACUUCAAUCUAACUAUUUAAUUGACCUCAAAAUCU
rnacentral:lncRNA from 1 species